rnacentral:rRNA from 1 species
GACGAACGCUGGCGGCGUGCUUAACACAUGCAAGUCGAACGGGCCUUGUCCCCUUUUUUUUUGGGGGUGGGGUUAGUGGCGAACGGGUGAGUAACACGUGAGUAACCUGCCCCUCACUUCUGGAUAACCGCUUGAAAGGGUGGCUAAUACGGGGUGUUCUGGCCUGCUCGCAUGGGUGGGUUUGGAAAGAUUCGACCGGUUUUGGUUGUUUUGGUGGGGGAUGGGCUCGCGGCCUAUCAGCUUGUUGGUGGGGUGAUGGCCUGCCAAGGCUUUGACGGGUAGCCGGCCUGAGAGGGUGGGCGGUCACACUGGGACUGAGACACGGCCCAGACUCCUACGGGAGGCAGCAGUGGGGAAUAUUGCACAAUGGGCGCAGGCCUGAUGCAGCGACGCCGCGUGAGGGAUGGAGGCCUUCGGGUUGUGAACCUCUUUCGCCAGUGAAGAAGGUCCUGCUCUUUGUGGUGGGGUUGACGGUAGCUGGGUUAAUGAAGCGCCGGCUAACUACGUG